CUUGAUCCUCCCCUGGCAAUAGGAGAGUUGCUUUUAUGUGGAGCUUUCUGCAGUUCUUUAAGACGUCUUUGUGGAUGGUGAUUUCAAGUAUAUUUGUAUGAAAAUUCAGGGAAGGAGAAUUCUACAUAUGGCAAGCUGGGCAGAUGAGAGGAGGGCGUGGUCGUGCUGAAUUCUUGAGUCAACGCCGAAUUGAAAAUUGUGGAAAAGCCCACAAAUUCAGUCUGCAUGAUCGAAUUCUCCUGUAAAAGAGUUUCAAACGACUUUGCCGUAAUCGAAGGCUAUGAAAGGAAUCUAGAAGAAGAUUAUAUACAUGAAAGGUA